UACGAAGGGUGCAAGCGUUACUCGGAAUUACUGGGCGUAAAGGGUGCGUAGGUGGUUGUUUAAGUCUGCUGUGAAAGCCCCGGGCUCAACCUGGGAACGGCAGUGGAUACUGGACAGCUAGAGUGCGGUAGAGGGUAGUGGAAUUCCCGGUGUAGCAGUGAAAUGCGUAGAGAUCGGGAGGAACACCAGUGGCGAAGGCGGCUACCUGGACCAGCACUGACACUGAAGCACGAAAGCGUGGGGAGCAAACAGG
rnacentral:rRNA from 1 species